UUGGAGGGCAAGUCUGGUGCCAGCAGCCGCGGUAAUUCCAGCUCCAAUAGCGUAUAUUAAAGUUGUUGCAGUUAAAAAGCUCGUAGUUGGACUUCGGGGUCUACCCAUUGGUCAGGCUUAAUUGUCUGCACUGGUGAGAUGGAUCUCUACCUUCUGAGGAACUUUCAUGCCAUUUAUUUGGUGUGAUGGGAAAUCAGGACUGUUACUUUGAAAAAAUUAGAGUGUUUAAAGCAGACUAUCGUCUGAAUACAUUAGCAUGGAAUAAUGAAAUAGGACGGACUGAUUCUAUUUCGUUGGUUUCUAGGAUCACCGUAAUGAUUAAUAGGGAUAGUUGGGGGCAUUAGUAUUCAAUUGUCAGAGGUGAAAUUCUUGGAUUUAUUGAAGACUAACUACUGCGAAAGCAUUUGCCAAGGAUGUUUUCAUUAAUCAAGAACGAAAGUUAGGAGAUCGAAGACGAUCAGAUACCGUCGUAGUCUUAACCAUAAACUAUGCCGACUAGGGAUCGGACGAAGUUAUUAAAAAUGACGCGUUCGGCGCCUUACGGGAAAC
rnacentral:rRNA from 1 species